GCGCCGGCUCCUGGCAACCGGGAGGAAAGCGGCCGAGCCGUUGGCGCGCGGGGGGCUGCCGAGGGGCGCCAUGAUGCUGCGCGGGGCGCCGGAGGAGCAGGCCACGGCCGUCGCCAGGCCCCUCUCUGCGGCUUCUGUGCUUUACCAAGUUGAGCCUGUGGGACGAUGGUUUGAAGCAUUUAUUAAGAGGAGAAACAUACAUAUUUCUGCCUCUUUCCAAGAGCUGGAGGAUGAGAAAGAGCUCUCUGAAGAGUCAGGAGAUGAAGAAUUACAGCUGGAAGAAUAUUCCAUGUUAAAGACACUUGAUCCAAAAGACUGGAAGAAUCAGGAUCACUACUCAGUCCUUGGACUAGGACAUAUGCGAUACAAGGCCUCUCAGAAACAAAUCAAAGCAGCACAUAAAGCCAUGGUGUUGAAACACCAUCCAGAUAAGCGAAAAGCAGCAGGAGAACAGAUAGGGGAAGGAGACAAUGACUACUUUACUUGUAUAACAAAAGCUUAUGAAAUUUUAUCAGAUCCUGUGAAAAGGCGAGCUUUUAACAGCGUAGAUCCUACUUUUGAUAAUACAGUUCCUUCUAAAAGUGAAGCAAAAGAAAAUUUCUUUGAAGUUUUUUCACCAGUUUUUGAAAGAAAUGCCAGGUGGUCAAAUAAAAAAAACGUACCAAAGCUUGGAGAUAAGAACUCAUCAUUUGAAGAGGUAGAUGCAUUUUAUUCAUUUUGGUAUGAUUUUGAUUCUUGGAGAGAAUUCUCUUACUUAGAUGAGGAAGAAAAAGAAAAAGCAGAAUGUCGAGAUGAGAGGAGGUGGAUUGAAAAGCAGAACAGAGCAACUCGAGCACAAAGGAAAAAGGAAGAGAUGAACAGAAUAAGGACACUCGUUGACACUGCCUAUAGCUGUGAUCCUAGAAUAAAGAAGUUCAAGGAAGAAGAAAAAGCAAAGAAGGAAGCAGAAAAGAAAGCAAAGGUAGAUGCAAAACGGAAAGAACAAGAGGAAAAAGAGAAGCAACGGCAAGCAGAACUGGAAGCAGCCCGUUUAGCCAAGGAGAAGGAAGAGGAAGAAACUAGACAACAAGCACAGCUGUUGAAGAAAGAAAAGGACAUACAGAAAAAAGCAAUUAAAAAGGAAAGGCAAAAGCUGCGAACUACCUGCAAGAACUGGAAUUACUUUUCUGACAACGAGGCAGAGUGUGUUAAGAUGAUGGAAGAAGUGGAAAAGCUUUGCGACCGUCUGGAGUUGGCAAGUCUGCAGUGCUUGAAUGAAGCACUUACCUCCACAACAAGGGAAGAAGGAAAGGCUGCUGUAGAAAAACAGAUAGAAGACAUAAAUGAGCAGAUCAGAAGAGAAAAAGAAGAAGCAGAAGCUCGUUUGCGACAGGCAACAAAAAGUUCUGAGAAAUCAACAAGUGGAGGUGGUGGAGGAAGUAAGAACUGGUCAGAAGACGACUUGCAGUUGCUAAUUAAAGCUGUAAACCUCUUUCCUGCUGGGACGAAUUCAAGGUGGGAAGUUAUUGCCAAUUAUAUGAAUUUGCACUCUGUUACGGGAAUAAAACGAACAGCAAAAGAUGUCAUCAACAAAGCAAAGAGCCUCCAGAAACUUGGUAUCUUUAUCUUUACCCUCAUCAGAAGGAUGACAUCAACAAAAAGGCUUUUGAUAAAUUUAAAAAAGAGCACAGUGUGGUGCCACAGACAGAUAUCGCUACACCAUCAGAACGGUUUGAAGUACCAGUUACAGACUCAUCUCCUUGGACAACAGAAGAGCAAAAACUUUUAGAACAAGCUUUGAAGACCUAUCCAGUGAAUACUCCUGAAAGGUGGGAGAAAAUAGCAACUUCUGUACCGGGCCGAUCUAAAAAAGACUGCAUGAAGCGAUAUAAGGAACUCGUUGAAAUAGUGAAAGCAAAGAAAGCUGCUCAAGAGCAAGUACUGAAUGCUGCUAAAAUUAAGAAAUGAGAUUCUUAAUGACAAUCUUAAAUGUGUUUUGUUUUAUAAUAAAAAUGCAAAUACAA